AUUGAACGCUGGCGGCAGGCCUAACACAUGCAAGUCGAACGAGUGGCGGACGGGUGAGUAAUGUCUGGGAAACUGCCUGAUGGAGGGGGAUAACUACUGGAAACGGUAGCUAAUACCGCAUACCAUCGGAUGUGCCCCGAUGGGAUUAGCUAGUAGGUGGGGUAACGGCUCACCUAGGCGACGAUCCCUAGCUGGUCUGAGAGGAUGACCAGCCACACUGGAACUGAGACACGGUCCAGACUCCUACGGGAGGCAGCAGUGGGGAAUAGUGCACAAUGGGCGCAAGCCUGAUGCAGCCAUGCCGCGUGUAUGAAGAAGGCCUUCGGGUUGUAAAGGACUUUCAGCGAGGAGGCGUUACCCGCAGAAGAAGCACCGGCUAACUCCGUGCCAGCAGCCGCGGUAAUAC
rnacentral:rRNA from 1 species